UUUAAUAUGAGAGUUUGAUCCUGGCUCAGGACGAACGCUGGCGGCGUGCCUAACACAUGCAAGUCGAGCGAAGUACUUAUCAAUAAGCCUUCGGGCAGAUUGAUAAGCUACUUAGCGGCGGAUGGGUGAGUAACGCGUGAGGAACCUGCCUUCCACAAGGGGAUAGCCUCGGGAAACCGGGAUUAAUACCCUAUGACACUUAAAGGUCCCAUGACUUUUAAGUUAAAGCGUUAG
rnacentral:rRNA from 1 species